GUGCCAGCAGCCGCGGUAAAACGUAGGUGGCGAGCGUUAUCCGGAUUUACUGGGCGUAAAGGGUGUGCAGGCGGGGGUUCAAGUGGUGUAUGAAAGGUCCCAGCUAAACUGGGAUAGGUUAUGCCAGACUGGACUUCUAGAGUGCGAGAGAGGGGCGUGGAAUUCCGGGUGUAGUGGUGAAAUGCGUAGAGAUCCGGAGGAACCCCAGAGGCGAAGGCGGCGCCCUGGCUCGCAACUGACGCUCAGACACGACAGCAUGGGGAGCGAACGGGAUUAGAAACCCCGGUAGUCC
rnacentral:rRNA from 1 species